GAGACACCCUUCUGGGGCAAGACUUGCUUCAGUGGGGCUUUGGUGCUCACUGAGUCUUCCCCCUGAGUGUGACCUU
rnacentral:pre_miRNA from 1 species